rnacentral:rRNA from 1 species
UACGUAGGGUGCGAGCGUUAAUCGGAAUUACUGGGCGUAAAGGGUGCGCAGGCGGCCCCGCAAGUCAGACGUGAAAUCCCCGAGCUCAACUUGGGAAUGGCGUUUGAAACUACGGGGCUGGAGUGUGGCAGAGGGAGGUGGAAUUCCACGUGUAGCGGUGAAAUGCGUAGAGAUGUGGAGGAACACCAAUGGCGAAGGCAGCCUCCUGGGCCAACACUGACGCUCAUGCACGAAAGCGUGGGGAGCAAAC